rnacentral:rRNA from 1 species
GGAGGGAUCAUUACUGA